AUUGAACGCUGGCGGCAUGCCUUACACAUGCAAGUCGAACGGCAGCACGGGUGCUUGCACCUGGUGGCGAGUGGCGAACGGGUGAGUAAUACAUCGGAACGUACCUUAUCGUGGGGGAUAACGCAGCGAAAGCUGUGCUAAUACCGCAUACGCCCUGAGGGGGAAAGCGGGGGAUCGAAAGACCUCGCGCGAUUAGAGCGGCCGAUGCCUGAUUAGCCUGUUGGUGGGGUAAAAGCCCACCAAGGCGACGAUCAGUAGCUGGUCUUAGAGGACGAUCAGCCACACUGGGACUGAGACACGGCCCAGACUCCUACGGGAGGCAGCAGUGGGGAAUUUUGGACAAUGGGGGCAACCCUGAUCCAGCAAUGCCGCGUGAGUGAAGAAGGCCUUCGGGUUGUAAAGCUCUUUUGUCAGGGAAGAAACACCGGCUCUAACACAGUCCGGGAAUGACGGUACCUGAAGAAUAAGCACCGGCUAACUACGUGCCAGCCGCCGCGGUAA
rnacentral:rRNA from 1 species